rnacentral:rRNA from 1 species
AUUGAACGCUGGCGGAAUGCUUUACACAUGCAAGUCGAACGGCAGCACGGACUUCGGACUGGUGGCGAGUGGCGGACGGGUGAGGAAUGCAUCGGAAUCUGCCCAAUCGUGGGGGAGAACCUCGGGAAACCGUGCCUAAUACCGCAUACGACCUUCGGGUGAAAGCAGGGGAUCGCAAGACCUUGCGCGAUUGGAUGAGCCGAUGCCGGAUUAGCUAGUUGGUGGGGUAAAGGCCCACUAAGGCGACGAUCGGUAGCUGGUCUGAGAGGAAGAUCAGCCACACUGUGACUGAGACACGGGCCAGACUCCUACGGGAGGCAGCAGUGGGGAAUAUUGGACAAGGGGCGCAAGCCUGAUCCAGCCAUGCCGCGUGGAUGAAGAAGGCCUUCGGGUUGUAAAGCCCUUUUGUUGGGAAAGAAAAGCAUUCGGUUAAUACCCGGUUGUUCUGACGGUACCCAAAGAAUAAGCACCGGCUAACUUCGUGCCAGCCGCCGCCGUAA